rnacentral:rRNA from 1 species
UACGUAGGGGGCGAGCGUUGUCCGGAAUUACUGGGUGUAAAGGGCGUGUAGGCGGGGCAGCAAGUUAUCGGUAAAAACCCGGGGCUCAACCUCGGGCCUGCCGAUAAAACUGCAGCUCUUGAGUGCAGGAGAGGGAAGUGGAAUUCUCGGAGUAGCGGUGAAAUGCGUAGAUACCGGGAAGAACACCAGUGGCGAAGGCGGCUUCCUGGCCUGUAACUGACGCUGAGGCGCGAAAGCUGGGGGAGCGAACGGG